rnacentral:tRNA from 1 species
CGUAGCUCAGUUGGCAGAGCAUUGGGCUAGUAUUCCAAAGGUCGUAGGUUCGAUUCCCACCG